rnacentral:rRNA from 1 species
AGUGAACGCUGCGGCAGGCCUAACACAUGCAAGUCGAGCGGCAGCGCGGGGGCAACCCUGGCGGCGAGCGGCGGACGGGUGAGGAAUUCGUCGGAAUCUGCCUAUUCGUGGGGGAUAACGUAGGGAAACUUACGCUAAUACCGCAUACGUCCUACGGGAGAAAGUGGGGGACCUUCGGGCCUCACGCGGAUGGAUGAGCCGACGACCGAUUAGCUGGUUGGUGGGGUAAAGGCCCACCAAGGCGACGAUCGGUAGCUGGUCUGAGAGGAUGAUCAGCCACACUGGGACUGAGACACGGCCCAGACUCCUACGGGAGGCAGCAGUGGGGAAUAUUGGACAAUGGGCGCAAGCCUGAUCCAGCCAUGCCGCGUGUGUGAAGAANGCCUUCGGGUUGUAAAGCACUUUUGUCCGGAAAGAAAUCCUUCAGCUUAAUACGUUGGGGGG